GCGUGAAUAGCUCAGUUGGUAGAGCACAACCUUGCCAAGGUUGGGGUCGCGGGUUCGAGCCCCGUUUCACGCUCCA
rnacentral:tRNA from 1 species